CAGUCGCCGCGGUAAUGCGGAGGGGGCUAGCGCUGUUCGGAAUUACUGGGCGUAAAGCGCACGUAGGCGGCUUGGUAAGUUAGAGGUGAAAGCCCGGAGCUCAACUCCGGAAUUGCCUUUAAGACUGCCGAGCUAGUAGGUGAGAGAGGUAAGUGGAAUUCCGAGUGUAGAGGUGAAAUUCGUAGAUAUUCGGAAGAACACCAGUGGCGAAGGCGGCUUACUGGCUCAUUCUAGACGCUGAGGUGCGAAAGCGUGGGGAGCAAACAGGAUUAGAUACCCCAGUAGUCCCUGUCUCUUAUAC
rnacentral:rRNA from 1 species